UGAUGUAGGUGUUGGUGGGGAUGGUGAUGAUUAUGAUGAUGAUGAUGAUGAUGAUGAUCAUCAUCAUCAUCAUCAUCAUCAUCAUCAUCAUUAGUA
rnacentral:pre_miRNA from 1 species